UUUAAAAUUUAUUAAAUCCAAAGAAGAAAAAUAUGGCUCAAAAUCUUAAAUUUGUUUAUGCUUUGAUAAUGAUAAUAGUUCUUUCUUCAUUUCUUGCUGAGUCCAUUUCGAGUAAGUCAUACCUUCACACAAUUUUCAAAUUUUCCUGUAUAACACAUGAACACUGUUUGAUCUUCUCUUACUAACAAUCCUUUAUUGUUUGUUUUUUGGUGGUGGUCGGGGUUUGAACCCCAGACCUUACAUAUUUUAAGCAUUAUCACUACCAAUUGAGCUAUCAUGAGUUCAUGAUUUGCAAAAAAAAUGCUGAUUGUCCAAGAUUUAUGUGUAUACCACCGGAAAAACCGAAGUGUGUUGAUUUAUGGUGUUCAAGUAACAAUUAUAAAGAUGCUGGAUUUCCAACUUUAAUUUACAAUACCUUGAGUUUUGACAAACGGACUGAAUUACAAGACUCAAAUUUCUAGAAAA